UACAGAGGGGGCAAGCGUUGUUCGGAAUUACUGGGCGUAAGGGCGCGUAGGCGGCCUGUUAAGUCGAACGUGAAAUCCCCGGGCUCAACCCGGGAACUGCGUCCGAUACUGGCAGGCUUGAAUUCGGGAGAGGGAUGCGGAAUUCCAGGUGUAGCGGUGAAAUGCGUAGAUAUCUGGAGGAACACCGGUGGCGAAGGCGGCAUCCUGGACCGAGAUUGACGCUGAGGCGCGAAAGCCAGGGGAGCAAACGGG
rnacentral:rRNA from 1 species